AUCAUGGCUCAGGAUGAACGCUAGCGGCAGGCUUAACACAUGCAAGUCGAGGGCAGCGCGGAGUAGCAAUACUCUGGCGGCGACCGGCGGAAGGGUGCGUAACACGUGAGCGACUUGCCCGUCACAGGGAGAUAACCGCGUGGAAACGGCGACUAAAUAUCCCAUAUGAUGGCGAUCUGCAUGGAUUGUCAUUGAAAGAUUCAUCGGUGGCGGAUAGGCUCGG
rnacentral:rRNA from 1 species